GCAACAUCAAUAUGAUCAUUUUCUAAGAAAAAUUAAGGCAAAAUCUUCCAAGUAAUAUGGUCAAUUUCAAUAAAAUUACAACUUACUAGAGUAUAUCCAUCUACUAAACAUCCAAAGUUCACAACAUAAUUUUUGAAUAUCACCAAUAACAUCCCCAGUCCUAAAGAUUGCAACAAAUUCAUGUAACAUUUGAGAGUAUUGUUUGGGGGUAAAAACAUCGUGACCAGGUACGCAUAAGUAGAAUGCGCACCCCUCAGUCGGCCUAAGGCGACUCCUUGAGGAAAGUCUUCCCCGACGAGUUGAGCAUUGGAGGGUUUAUGUUAGAAAAUCCUCCGACAUCCCCUGACUAGUUGUUAUGAACGCAAGCAUCCUUGGAGAAAGAGCUUGAGGUCCCAAGAGCCUAUUCGAUAAGAAAGAUAGAAGUACAAACCGACUCCCCAACAACUACUAAUUUAAGUGUUGGCGUGGUUGUCUGGUCGCUUCACAACUCGACCAGAAUUCAACAUCAACAGAUAUUUUAGAAUCUAGUGUAUCUUCAAUAAUUUUGGAUUAAAUUGUAUGACACUUUUUUCUUUCUUUUUUUUUUGUGAAAACAAAUUUUAGUACACUUAUUUUAAAAGAAAUUUGUUAAUGAAAAACAAAAUAAUGACAAUGAAGAGCACUCAUUUAUAAAAAUAAGCUACAAAUAGGAAAACAAAAUUCAUAUAAGUAGAAUCUCCCAAAAAAUAAAAGCAUUGUCAAAUUGAGUUACAAACUAAUAAUAAUUUCAUCAAAGUUUGUAAACUAAAGAUUGUCCUAAUAUCAAAAAGUUUCCAAUAAAACACUUAUGCCAGAUAAUUUAUAGAACCUAGUAAUAUCCAACUGAAUUCUCCCCUGCAAAUAAUUAAAAUUUUCAAGUUAGUCAAUAAGAAAAAACAGCCAUCAAUCAUAAUAAGAAGCAACAACAAAUUACACUAAAAAAAUAGCAGAAAAAAGCACCAAAACAACAAAUAUAAACAAGAAACAACAAUAAAAAAAAAACCCAAAAAUGGCAAAAAGAGAUGCUCAAAGCAGCAAUAAAUUUAUAAAAAAUACCCUAAAAUAGCAAGAAAACUACCUAAAACCAGAAAAAAAAAAUCUAAAAUAGCAGCAAAAUCUUCCAUUGCCAGAUAAAGCUAUGAAAGAAAAGAAAUAAAAUUCAUAAAGAGUCAAAGCUAACAUACUGACCACUUGCUAGAAAUUAAGCUAUAAAUCCCAAAUUUUUACACAAAUUAAUAUCUGAAACAAGAUUGGUUUGAUAUAUGAUAGUCAAGUAAAAUACCUAUAAAGUAGUACAAAAUCAGCAAACCUAAUGGCUUCACUCCACUCAUUUUCUUAAGACUCCAGUGAUGAGAAGCUGCCAACAGAAUGAUAAAUUGAGGUUUGACAGGAAGCACACAAACUAAACAAGAUACAUAACAACUUUGUUAUCCAUGUUACACCCUAGAACCAUUUCUAGGAAUAUUUGUUAGAAUAGCCACCAUAACAGUUGAUGAGCAACAUAAAACAGAGACAACAACAAAACCAGCAACCUGCAAAGUGCCAAUUCUUCCAUAAUUAAAUCAGAUAGACAAUAGAAAUAAUUUACUAUUAAAAUCCCAAAUUCAUUUUAUCUUCUUCCUGCAUUUUCUCAUCAAUCAAACAUAAAAGAGAGCUCCUAUCGACAUAUGCAAACAGCACCCACCAUCUUGUCACAUUCAAACACAACCCAAGAUCACAAAAGUUAAUUUUCCAGAUUUAGUUAACCAAAGAAAAUAUACCAUCAAUUGGAUCACCUUAUAAAUCAAAUACAAUUACACGAUAUUACCAACCUCCCAAAAAAAAAAGGCACAAACUUUAAAAUGAAAACAACACCACCAUGAAAAAUAAGCAAAAGUGGGUAUUUGAAUCAAACAUGAUAGAAUGCAACAAAAGCAAAAAAGCUUUCCAUAGAAGCCAGAGCCAGAUUGGGUACAAGCAAGCUAGGAUGUACCAAUUAAAGAUGCUUCAUUCAAGAACAGAAAAGCUACCAGAAUGAUAAAAGUAGAAAAAAUGAAACAAUAAAUAGAAAAUUGGGUGAAGCUGCAACAAUAGUUUCAAUCACUUAACAGUACCAGCAAACUUAUAGUCAACUUUAAGAACUAGAUGUUUAAGCCACAGAUAACGGGGACGUACCCAUGAGGAUAAAGACACAAGCGUGAGACCAGCAAAGCCGCCCAUCCUUAACUUGUGCAGCAGACAAAGUCGAAUGAAAAAGGAGGCAACGACGGUAGCGACGGAAACGGCUGGAUCGGAAGCGAACAGCUCAAGAUGAAAGCAACAAGUUAAUGGAUUGGAUUGUGUGCGCGUGAUGUGGCUUCGUUUUUAUUUGGUUAGUCAAGAAAUCGAAGAGAGAAAUUUGUGAUUUCUGAGAGAGAGGCAAGAAAUUGAGAGAGAUUGGGCGCGGUUGAAACACCUAAAUUAUUAAAAUAUAAAUUUUGCAGCGUUUGGGAACUGGUUGCUUCGGUUGCCCUUUUUUUGUUUUUUUAUUUCUUUUCAAU
rnacentral:lncRNA from 1 species